rnacentral:lncRNA from 1 species
UGCUGAGUCCUCAUAUCGAAAACAUGAAAUUUUCCCUCCAGUGACGUGGCCACUAGCUUGUUCAUAUUCACAUCUUUUCUGUCAAACUCCACGCUGCAAACCCCAUUCUUAAUGUUGGUCUCCCAUCGCAGUGACAUGGUUCUUAAGUCAAACAAUUUGAUGUCCCCAUUGUCAUAUCCAGCACAAACAACACGUUCCUCUUGAUUGUAAGCGUUGCCAAAAGCCACAGUCCAGCAGUCCCUUUUGCUCUCUCCCUGCGCGGGUUCCAUGUUAGCCACAGGAGUCUCCUUCUGCCGCGGGUCCCACACCUUCACAGUUCCAUCUCGACUGCCCGUCACAAUUUCGGGUGCGCCUUCCCCAAUCCCCAGGCCUCCCACGCCAUCGAUGCUGUUAAUGAUUUCCUUAUGCCCUUUCACGGAAUACACGGGUAUUUCGGGAGCUUCUAAAUCCCAGAUGCUGAGGCUGCCCGCGAAGUCCCCCGUUGCCAGGUGCCUCUGCUGCAGGGAGGCGGCCCCGAAGGUCGCGCAUUUUAUAGGCUUGGCCUUCUCGAUCUCGCUGAGCAGCAGCAGCCGCCCGCCGCGCAGCUCGUACAGCUGCAGCACGCCGGUGCCGCGCGGGGCGCUGCCGAGGCACAGCAGGCGGGCGCUGCGCGGCACCCACUUACAGUCGAAGACGGUGUAGUUCAGCGACUGCUGCGCGUGCACCACCACCUGCGGCCGCU